rnacentral:lncRNA from 1 species
AUGAUCUCGCCUGUCUCCCGAGCAAAAUCGGAGUUUGUGGAUCCUAUCUGUAUCUUGGCUUGGCAACAUAUUAGAGGUGCACAAACCGGGUUUUUUUUUAUUAAACUGGAUUGGGCUUAAAACCGGUUCUGGUUUCGUCAACAAAGUUAAAACCGGAUUAAACCCGAACCAGUUUUAAAGGACAAUUACUGUCUGUGAAGGUUGAUAUUCACUUGCAUCUGUGAUUGCAGCCAUGGCAGAUUCGGGCCAAACAAGUCCAUUGCAGCAUAUCUGAGCCUUCGAUUCUCAUCAGCAGCAAACUUGUAUUUGAUCAUGUGGAUGUUAAUUAAUUGGUCCUUGGAAAGCAUGACCUUUUGAAUUACGAUCAUCUAGUGUUUGAUUGACCCGCUAAUUGCAUACGUAAUCUUACUACAGUUUGGUCUGACUGGUGCAAGCGUGGUCAAGGUGUUUAAAUUUUUAUUGGUCCGGGUGUUGCAGCUUGGCUUCGGCAAUUUUCUAAACUACAGUUUAUCUGCUUCGUUUCUUGGCUAGGCAACUUGGUCGGUAUGCAUAUGAUACAUGCAACUGUGAUUGCAGCCAUGGCGGAUUUUGACAGUAACUAGAUUCCGAUGAUAACAUAUCUUAGCCUCAAAACCUCCGCAACCCAUGAUCUUCGAUUUCCCCCCAAAU